UACGAAGGGGGCUAGCGUUGCUCGGAAUCACUGGGCGUAAAGGGUGCGUAGGCGGGUUUUUAAGUCAGAGGUGAAAUCCUGGAGCUCAACUCCAGAACUGCCUUUGAUACUGAAAGUCUUGAGUAUGGGAGAGGUGAGUGGAACUGCGAGUGUAGAGGUGAAAUUCGUAGAUAUUCGCAAGAACACCAGUGGCGAAGGCGGCUUACUGGCCCAUUACUGACGCUGAGGCUCGAAAGCGUGGGGGAGCAAACAGG
rnacentral:rRNA from 1 species